GAUGUUUAUAAUUGAUUUACUUGGUUUUUCUUUAAUGAAUUUUUUCAUUAUAUUGUAUUUAAUAUCUGGAAAAAUAUUUUGCCUUGAGUGUUUGGGCAAGGAUAUUUAAUUUUCAGAAUUCUGAAUUAAAAAAAAAAAUGAGAGUUAUGUGGAAUUUUUUUUGUUUGUUUUGGAACAGUUAGGACUGAAUUUCUUUUAUGUAAGUUUUCAGAUUGUCAGUAUAUCUAUGAAUGCUAGUUUACCAGCAUUUUCUCCUCUUGCAUAUGGUUUUUACAUUGAAAAAGAAAGUGUUCAUGGUGAAAGAAAAGUCUCUUUUACCCCAUUAGACAUCGUAUGCAUGAUCUUUAUGUAUCUUUUUUUAUCUCCCACAUCCAUUUUACUGAUAUUGUCUAUUAUUAUAGACACGGUAUGCAUGGUUUCUAUUUCUUCUUGAGUCUCGAUAAAGAAGUUAUCUUGGAUUUGCGUCUUUAUACAUGUGUCUUUGCCUGCCGCAGCUUAGGUUUGCUUUUAGAAUUAAAUAAGCUCUUUGCUAGUAGGUUUCCAUUUUGCUGAGUACAUUCAUUUGUUUUGAAGAGAUAUAAGUCCCAAAUAGAACAUGGAGGCUAAUAGUUCUUUCAAUGCUCUCUGAGUUUUGUGGACUAGUGCCAUUUUGUACUUGUUACUUGAGGCUUAGUAUGGACAUUCAGAACAUAAGACGUGGGACUUAGCUUGGUAUCAAGUUUAAAAUGAAUUGGAUAAAAAAUGAAGUCCUCAAUAUGGACGGUUGAAUUACUCACUUCAAAAUUAUGAACUAAAUUUGCUCGAAGGUUGCUUGAAACAUUGACAGAGUGCAGCUUUAUGAACGGAUUUACCUAGUUACUAUAAAUUGACUUCUCUUGUUUACUUUUCGGUGCUACUGAAUCUCAAGUGAUCUGACGUACCCGGUUAAUAUAUAUGCGUAUGCUUAUUGAUAAAAAGUUCAUGUUGUAUGUCACUGAAAUAACAACAAAUUUGGAUAAAAUCUUGUUGGAAUGAAAUUUUGUACAAGAGUUGGAAGAAUAAUCUUGAUGAGUGCAAUUAGGGAUGAAGUUAUUAGUAGAACAUCAUUAUCAUUCGUUUCUUAUGAUGAAGGAGAUUUGUAUCAGACAAAAGAUUUUUCUUGUAGAAACUUUAUUUGAUUCCUGGUUUUUUGUUUUUUUCUUUCUUUUCACAGUUGUUAUUAUUUCAGAGAACUCAUAUAUUCAUAUUCACAAAAUGGUUUGAUUACUCACUCUGGACUGAUUGUGCUUAAAAUUCUCAACACAUUAAAAAUAACUCUAUUUUGUUUUGGACAGCCAACUAGUGGUCGAAGUCUGCCGAAGAUACUUCGUCCCUUAAUGCUUAUGCUCAAGCCAAUUGUUCAAUUUCUUUUGCUGCUUUGGUAUAUUUGCAUGAAGAUACCGGCAUGCAAAUAUACCGGCUCCUGAUGUCUUUAUAGUACAGGUUCAGACUCUCACACUCCCAUUUUAGAGAACUCAUCUAUGUAUGUAUUGCUUCUUUCGACUGGAGUUGCAGUGAAAUUUGCAAGUCAAUAGAGAAGAUCAAAUUUGCGCAACCAGAUUGUGAAUGCAAAGUACAAGUUAUGGAGCCACGGCAUGUUUUGCACACAAAUGACUCGAGAAAUUCAAAUGUGAACUAUUGAUUUUGUACAAACCCUUGAUUCGAUUUUGACUAAAAUGGCGACAAAAAUGUGUCGGGGCUUCACUCUACAUUGCAUCAGAAUCGCCCAUCAAGCAACCAAACCAAAACAAUACAACAAAAUAAAGCCGUAUGAGUUCCAGUCGAUUAAUCUGCUUUCACAUUUUAAUUGUAAAGAAAGUUUUCACUAUUUUGUUCAUUCUGUAUUAUGUCCUCAAACUUUUUUAUUUAUCUUCAAUUAAUUAGCUUAUUAUCUCCGAUAA